rnacentral:lncRNA from 1 species
CCUCGACCUCGACUGCGGGAAGGCUUCGCCCGGACUCCUACGGGAGCCGAGCUCCGCCCACGACUUCACUUACAGGUAAACUCCGUCCGAACUCCUACGGGAGCCGGACCUCGUUUCUGACCUUGAUUGCAGGUGGACUCCGACUAAACUCCUACGGGAGCCAGAUCUCGUCGCCGACUUCCACUGCAGGCAGACUUCGUCCAGACUCCUACGGGAGCCAGACUUCGUCCCCAACCUCAAUUGCAGGAAGACUUCGUCCGGACUCCUACGGGAGCCGGACUUCGUCCCCAACCUCAAC